rnacentral:rRNA from 1 species
UACGUAGGGGGCAAGCGUUGUCCGGAAUCAUUGGGCGUAAAGAGCGCGUAGGCGGCCCUGUAAGUCCGCUGUGAAAGUCAAGGGCUCAACCCUUGAAUGCCGGUGGAUACUGCAGGGCUAGAGUCCGGAAGAGGCGAGUGGAAUUCCUGGUGUAGCGGUGAAAUGCGCAGAUAUCAGGAGGAACACCAAUGGCGAAGGCAGGUCUCUGGGCCACAACUGACGCUGAGGAGCGAAAGCGUGGGGAGCGAACAGG